AUUAAUAUAUUAGACGGUACUAUAAUUUGAGUUUCACUAACCGAGUGAACUCUUGGCAUCAGUAACCCCAGAAUGCUACCAUGUUCUACCAAGAAGCCUGAUACGUGUAAUAGUUGUGAGUAUCUGUUGUUUGAACAUAAAAAUAUAGUCCAGUAUUAUGGGACUGACAAUGUAUAUUUAGCACUCCUUUUGAUGUUGCUUGUUAUUUAUUCCGAUUCAAGAAAUUUUUAUUUAAAUAAUCAUUGUUUGUGUACAUUAGCAACGAUGCUCAAAAUUAAAAUGCAUGAAGAAGCAAAACUCUACAUUUUUAUUGAGCUUGUUACAAAAGGUUAUCAUUCAUCUCUCUAUCAGAAGUAUAAACUGUGAGAUUCACAAGUCUCUGCAUACACAAGGAAGAUUCUCAAUGGAUUAGAUCUCCCCCACAGGUUACAACUAUUUUGAUUGAUUACCAAGUGUUGGUGUACUAUACUCUUCAGCUCUUCAGAACUUUGUGAAGUUGAGUGAACUAUUACCAAGAAGAAAAUUAUGGACACAAUACACAGUAUCUGAUUCAAUAUCGAUGAGCUUUGUGAUGUCAAGUGCAAAACUCUGGAGAUUGAUUUCAUUGUCAUGCAAUAUUGAAGGAUCCAGGUUUGUUGACACAUUAAAUUUCCGCUGUUUUUCUUAUGGUGACAUUAGCCAUGUGCCGGAACCUUAGUCACACUCGCUUCUUUUUUUCCUUUUUCUUUUUACCCUUUUCUUUAUUUUUCUUCCUUUUUUUCUUUCCUUUCUUUCUCAUUGUUUUUGUUCUCUUUUCUGUUGGGUAUCAUAUCUAUCCUACCCUAAUUUGCUUGAGAAAAAGGCUUUGAUGUUAUUGUUUUUGUUUGCUUAUGGUGACAUCCUAUUAUGAAUGGAUCAUCAGUUGUGUUAUUUGCACUACCAUGACCCCAUCGAUAAUUCUACAUGAUUUUAAGUCGAGAUCUGCACACAAACCAGCAACAAAGCUAGAGUACUGGAGCUGAAGGUUGAGGCGACUAGCACACACAGAGAAGGAGAAACGAGUGGAAAUAUGAGGCGAAGACAAUUUUUUUUUUGGGGAUAACAUUGGAGCGACAGGAGCUGGUGAUGUUGAGCUGCAUUGGCUCCUAUAUAUGUGUGGCAGCAACAUUCAUGUUAAUAUAUUUCUAGAUAAAAAUCUGGAUCACUCUUAUACCGACAUUGGAGAAUAUAUUUCAUGAAGUUAAUUGAGAUCUAUUUAAAUU